AUGGUCAAAUCAUGCUGAAAUACCUGUUCACGUUUGAUCCCUGAGGUUAAGCAGUGUCGAGCACGGUCAGUACUUAGAUGGGAGACUGCUUGGCAACGUCAGGUAAUGUAA